GGUGCAGCUUUGGAAGCCUGCAGCUUUGGCGUGACAGCAUGCGAUUUUGGCAGCUUGCGUGCUUUGGCAGCUUACAGCUUUGGCAGUUUGUUUUUUCCAGCUUGCAGCUUUGACCGGUUUGACUCAGUCAAUUCCAUAUUCGAACUUAACUCAUUUCCUCAUUCUAUUCUGGUGCGAGAGGAAGGCAAAAAUUGAAGAAGGGCUCCUAUUAUGGGCUGGGCCGGCCCAUUAAUGGCAGACCAUGGACGUUUCUUUCACCAGAUUCCCUCUAUUCCGGUGAUGGCAGCUUGCUCCGGCCAUAGCUGGAGCUACCGCGUUGGUGAAGAAACCCCCUCGCUCAGAUUUCAUUGAAGAGGUGAAUCUCCUUAUUGGUGGAAGAUUGGACCAAAGGAGCGCAUUUGGAGGAGGGUGGAGGAUGCAACCAGCCAUGGUAGACGUUCCGGCGAGGCGAGGGUGAAAGCGGAGGGGCUGUCGGCGCUCGGAUUGGAAGAGGGCAAAGGGAAGCUGCUGCUUGGUUUUGCCCAGAUUGGAAGAUGCAGUCUUCUGCUAACCUCAGAGGCUUAGUUCCCCCUCCACACAGAGGGGCCAUUAGAGGGGCUGUCAGUUCAGAUUGUGUCUCCGGCGCAAAGGCGCCACAGAGUUAGCUUGCGGAGGUAACAAGUCAAGGAGGACACAAGCACGACGAUGACAGUGACAUAUGUUAGUAACAGUGAUACAUGUUAGUGUGGUCGCAUGUUAGUAUGAUCAUAUGUUAGUGUGGUUGUAUGUUAGUGUUGUACUCGAGAUCAGAUGAGAUUGUGAUGAAGGUUGGUGUCUGCGUA